rnacentral:rRNA from 1 species
GAAUAUUGCGCAAUGGGCGAAAGCCUGACGCAGCCAUGCCGCGUGUGUGAAGAAGGCCUUCGGGUUGUAAAGCACUUUAAGCAGGGAGGAAAAGCGGUUACCUAAUACGUAAUCGCCGUGACGUUACCUGCAGAAUAAGCACCGGCUAACUCCGUGCCAGCAGCCGCGGUAAUACGGAGGGUGCAAGCGUUAAUCGGAAUUACUGGGCGUAAAGCGCGCGUAGGCGGCUUGGUCAGUGGUGUGUGAAAGCCCUGGGCUUAACCUGGGAACUGCAUGCCAUACUGCCAGGCUUGAGUAUGAUAGAGGGAAGUGGAAUUCCAGGUGUAGCGGUGAAAUGCGUAGAUAUCUGGAGGAACAUCAGUGGCGAAGGCGGCUUCCUGGAUCAAUACUGACGCUGAGGUGCGAAAGCGUGGGGAGCAAACAGG